UUUAGAUUAAAGGAGGAGAAUAAGGCAAGCAGUUGCUUGACCAAGACAAGGUGGAUGCCAUCAUUGAAUAUGCUAUGGGAAGAUUGCUAGGAGUGACCUCCGCAGAAAUAAGAGGAAGAUGGGCCAAAAACUGAAGGACACCAGGGUAGCACGCAGGAGAAAGCCUGUCAAAUGGUCAUACAGCAUCCAAGGGCAACUUCUUGAGACUGGAAACUGCUAAAUAUCUUGAUGUUCACCUCAAGAGCAACCUGAAUUGGACAGAUCACAUAAAGACAACAACAAAUAAAGCCAGCUCUGUCGAUGCAUUUUUGCAGUGGAACAUUAGGCCUUGCCUAAGAAAAACGAAAACGUUGUGCUUCUUUGCUCUUGUUCGCCUAAUCCUGGAGUAUGCGUGCACAGUGUGGGAUCCUCACACCCAGGACAACAUACACAGGCUGGAAAUGGUACAGCUCCGCAACGCCCGGUUUGUCACUGGACAUUACCAUCAUACCAGCAGCAUCGCACCAAUGCUGCAACAUCUCAAAUGGCCAUCUCUCCGAGAACGCAGGGCAUGGUUUAAGAUGGUGAUGGUGUACGGGACUGUCAACCUGCACUCAGAGUUUCUCAAAAUCUACCUUCUAUCGGUGUUAACAUCCAACCAUGGUCAUACGCAGCAAUUCCAAAUACAAUUUACAAGGACUUCCUGAUUUCAUCAUGCUUUGGAACUUGCUACCUGCUGGAUUUGUCAACUGUACCUCCGCUAAAGCUUUUAAGCAAGAUGUACAAAAUGUCCAUCUCCAUUAGAAGGGGAAGAAGAAUUUUUAACUGCACAUAGAAUAUUAUAGAAAGUUUUAAAUUUGCACUGUAUAUUCGCGACACAAGACCUGACGUACGUGAUACACCAUACGGUGGACUGAAGUGAUAUCUCAAGAUCUGGGGGAUGAUAAUUCGGGCUUUAACAAAUUGCAUGAUAGUGGAGGUACUAUUUUUGACUACACAGUCGGAAGUUCCAUCUAGUUAUAAUAUCCUAACAUCAGUAUAGUAUCGCUAGAACAAAA